UAGUGGUAGCUCAGUGGUUAAGAUGUUGGCCUACUGAGCAGAAGGGUGUGAGUUCAAAUCCCAGCACCACCAA